rnacentral:rRNA from 1 species
GAUGAACGCUAGCGAUAGGCUUAACACAUGCAAGUCGAGGGGCAGCACAAGGUAGCUUGCUAUCUGGGUGGCGACCGGCGCACGGGUGCGUAACGCGUAUGCAACUUGCCCUAUACAGGAGGAUAACCCGUCGAAAGACGGACUAAUACUGCGUAUGCUCACAACUUGGCAUCAAGUGGUGAGGAAAGAAAUUCGGUAUAGGAUAGGCAUGCGUCCCAUUAGCUUGUUGGUGAGGUAACGGCUCACCAAGGCAACGAUGGGUAGGAGAACUGAGAGGUUUAUCCCCCACACUGGUACUGAGACACGGACCAGACUCCUACGGGAGGCAGCAGUGAGGAAUAUUGGUCAAUGGGCGCGAGCCUGAAACAGCCAAGUCGCGUGAAGGAUGACUGUCUUAUGGAUUGUAAACUUCUUUUAUACGGGAAUAACAAGAGUCACGUGUGACUCCCUGCAUGUACCGUAUGAAUAAGCAUCGGCUAACUCCGUG